rnacentral:lncRNA from 1 species
AAAAAGCAUACAAUUAAGAACAUGUACAUACAAGAUAUUAAUUUAAAGCAAACAAGAUAAAACAUUCAUCCUAUCAUGUUAAAUACUAGACUUGACUCGUCCGGACUUUAGAAUGAUAGUCGAGCUAUGGCGGGUCAUGCACCCGUGGUGGCUUGUGAUACUUAGGUUCUACCGCCUUGGGCUCCCCCGUCCUACCACACUCACGAGGUUAGUUCGUUCCGUGCCUUGGAGCAUGAUGGAAGCCUCCAAGACUAAGACCUCCUG